GCAAUUUAUAACACCCUUUGACAUCAAACUAUAUGAAAGAUAUUAAGCUCUACAAGAUAUUGCUUCCUAAAAUUGCCCAAGUUCGGUAAAAGAACGCAUAACAUUAGUAGCAAAUCCAUGAGCUCAACUAAUCGGCUGCUGGGGACAUCUCAGCACCACUGUUUCUGCAGUGAGACCAGGCCCAAACCCAAAGAGAAUCCCCCACUCUAGACCCUCCCCAGCAGUGCCGAACCCAUUCUCUUCCGACGUCCUCCUCAUCGCCUCCAUCACAAACAACACACAAGCACUCCACAUGUUCCCGUAAUCUCUCAGCACCUCCCUCGUGCUCGCCAGUUUCUCCGCCCUCAACCCAAGCCUCUUCUCAAUUUCAUCAAGUAUGGCCCUCCCACCCGGGUGCACCACCCAGAACGCCUCGUUCCAGUCGGUGAUUCCCACCGGACGUAGUGCCUCUCCGACCAAUUUCUCGAUGCUCGCAGAUAUGUGAGCUGGGAUCUUCGGCUGCAGACUGAACAUAAGCCCCACCUCCCUCAGCUUCCCCACUAUGGCCCCUUCUGAUCCAUCAAUUAUGUUCUGAGAGGUCCACAUUAUCUCAAACAACGCCUUCUCCACUCCUAGCUCCGGCUCUGCUCCCACCACCACUGCUGCCGCACCAUCCCCGAACAAAGCCUGCCCAACCAGGUUCUCAAUAUGGUCCUCACAUGGCCCCCGGAAACUGAUCGUUGUCACCUCCGAUGAGACUACCAGCACACGGGCACCGUGGUUGUUCUCAGCUAGAUCCUUUGCGAGACGGAGGACGGUGCCACCCCCAAAGCAACCCUGCUGGUAGAGCAUGAACCGCUUGAUGGAUAGGGGGAGGCCGAGGAGGCGGAUGAAGUCGUAGUCAGCACCAGGCAUGGAGGCGCCUCCACUGCUGCAGAAGAUAAGGUGGGUGAUGUCAGACUUGGGUCGACCCCAGUCCUCGAUAGCUU
rnacentral:misc_RNA from 1 species